CGUAUUUCAAUUCUUUGAAUUUCAAAUAUUCCCCUAGAAAAGUGAAAGUAAAAGUAAAAGAGGGAAGCAUUAUACUAUUAUCUUAAACUGGUGGGCCAGUAGGAAGACAUUUACUGUUAAGACAAGCAGCCCAAGUAUCAAAGCAACCAACUCCAGGAGUAGUAGAGCAGCACGAACAAUUUAAACCCAUAUAAUUGAAGGGUACACAUCCUUUACUAGAAGAGUUACUCUUUGGAAUCACUGGGAUCGGACCAUCUUGAGGUCUACAAGGGUCUUUUGCACCUGCCAUGUCACAUACAUGUAUUAAACUGUAUUGAAUUGUGUAAAAAUUACAAGUAUAUAUAACUACUUCAAUAAAUCCUUAUUUAUUACUAAGGGACUAUUUUGUCAACAUAAAAUAAAAGGUAAGUGUGGAAAAGGUGAUAUGUUUUGACGAGAUGUGAGAAUGAUGGUUCAUUUUGAAUAACCAAAAUAAGGAAUUAAGCUCUACCUGUUCCCUUUUUUGGUGGAAGAGUUUUUAUAAUACAUAAACGGCUAUCACUCUAAAGUUUCUUUUUCUUUUUAAGUCUACCAACGUCAUAAACAUUAAAAUGCAAAAAACAUAGGAGACUUUUGUUUUGAUUCUAUUCUCUAUAGGACUUUUCAAACCAAAAUAUACACUGACAAAGAAGUACGUCUUUGUGCAAAGCAUUUUAACCCUUACUAAAAUGGACCUCAAAACAAAAGAUAUAUACCUUCGUAUAGAGCCAGAAAAGUGAAAAAUACACCGCAAAGCACAAAAAAACGAAGGGCCAUGUUGAAUUGGUGCAGAGCGGGUUGUAUAUAUGUGCUUGGAUUUUGAACCUUUUUAUAGAUAUUUGAACUGGUUGUA
rnacentral:lncRNA from 1 species